rnacentral:rRNA from 1 species
UACGAAGGGGGCUAGCGUUGCUCGGAAUCACUGGGCGUAAAGCGCACGUAGGCGGGUCGUUAAGUCAGAGGUGAAAGCCUGGAGCUCAACUCCAGAACUGCCUUUGAUACUGGCGACCUCGAGUUCGAGAGAGGUUGGUGGAACUCCGAGUGUAGAGGUGAAAUUCGUAGAUAUUCGGAAGAACACCAGUGGCGAAGGCGGCCAACUGGCUCGAUACUGACGCUGAGGUGCGAAAGCGUGGGGAG